UCAUGCGGGCCGACCGGCGUUCGUGUGGAAAUUUGAGAGCGGGUCGAAUUUCUUCAUAUUGUCAUUUCUUUUGGUUUUGUUGUAAUUAUUUCAGAUGAAGUCAUGACUUUUUACUUUAAUUGUUUCUAUUUAAAGGCCUGUAACGAGGCCGUCUGCUCGUGUCGGCGUACUCCCCCACCCCACCCCGGGCCAUUUUCAUUCGAAUUUGGUAUGUACUGAACUGAACUGAACCCCGUGCACAUCUUAUGAUAUCAACGGAAUACUAUGCAACUGUUAGAUCAUUAUUCUCAGGCCCAAGACACUAUCCUGCUGUCAGUCAAAUCAAGCAAUCAAUGUACAGAGUGGUUUUGAGAAUCGGUGCAACUACAUGCAUGGUGGUGUAUUUGGCAUAUGAAGAAAUAUAAUACAAGAAAAAAAAAUGCAAGUUACUAAAAUAAAUUAUAUUUUGAAAAGUGGUGAAUUAUCCCAAUAGCCAUAUGAUGGUUCAACACAUUACACUAGUGUGUUAUCGCUUCAGGUCUCCUAGAUCUUCAAUAAAAUCUUCAUCAAUCUAUGUAAUCGGGAGAAGAGAAACGAAGAAACAUCAAAAUUUGUUCAAUUGUUCAAAUUGUUCAAAAAGAAAUUUCAAAUGAUACAAACCUCUGGCCACUUUUCAGGAAUAAAAUCAAAUAAAUCAUCCUUAACAUC